GUGGGGAAUAUUGGGCAAUGGGGGAAACCCUGACCCAGCGACGCCGCGUGAGGGAAGAAGGCCUUAGGGUCGUAAACCUCUGUUGUGUGGGAAGAAGAGCGUGACGGUACCACACGAGGAAGUCCCGGCUAACUACGUGACAGCAGCCGCGGUAAUACGUAGGGGACGAGCGUUGUCCGGAUUUACUGGGCGUAAAGGGCGCGUAGGCGGUCAUUUAAGUCAGCUGUGAAAUGGUUUGGCUUAACCCGAUCAGGCGGUUGAAACUGGAGGACUGGAGUGCUGGAGAGGCAAGUGGAAUUCCCAGUGUAGCGGUGAAAUGCGUAGAUAUUGGGAAGAACACCGGUGGCGAAGGCGACUUGCUGGCCAGCAACUGACGCUGAGGCGCGAAAGCCAGGGGAGCAAACGGGAUUAGAUACCCGGGUAGUCC
rnacentral:rRNA from 1 species